UCAUGAGGUGUGUAUGAUUUUGGUUGACCUUUUAAUGAAAUGCUUUCUUCCUACCUCUUGCAGCAGGUACAUUUCUCUUCCUCAUCUCCAUUCUAAAGUUCUGGAUUCCAGCUCCAGUCCUGUCACCAGAUGGCCAUCUGUUCUUGGCAGCAGCAUCUUCAGCAUUAGACUGAUGCCGAACCUGAAACUCCAAUACUUUGGCCAUCUGGGGUGAAGAGCUGACUCAUUUGAAAAGAGCCUGAUGCUGGGAAAGAUUGAAGGCGGGAGGAGGAGAGGACAGAGGAUGAGAUGGUUGGAUGGCAUCACCGACUCAAUGGACAUGAGUUUGAGUAAGCUCUGGGUGUUGGUGAUGGACAGGGAGGCCUGGCGUGUCCAUGGGGUCACUGAGUUGGACAUGACUGAGCUACUGAACUGACUGCCUGACUGCCUUUAUUUCAGCCCAUACUGUUUCCUCUCUCUAAAUGCUCUUUACUGUAUCUGGUGCAGAGGUA
rnacentral:lncRNA from 1 species